CCUUUCCGUAGGGGGUGCCUGCGGAAGGAUCAUUACCUAGAGUUUGUGGGCUUUGCCCACUGUCUCUUACCCAUGUCUUUUGAGUACUUACGUUUCCUCGGUGGGCUCGCCCGCCGGUUGGACAAUUUAAACCAUUUGCAGUUGCAAUCAGCGUCUGAAAAACAUAAUAGUUACAACUUUCAACAACGGAUCUCUUGGUUCUGGCAUCGAUGAAGAACGCAGCGAAAUGCGAUAAGUAGUGUGAAUUGCAGAAUUCAGUGAAUCAUCGAAUCUUUGAACGCACAUUGCGCCCCUUGGUAUUCCAUGGGGCAUGCCUGUUCGAGCGUCAUUUGUACCUUCAAGCUCUGCUUGGUGUUGGGUGUUUGUCUCGCCUCGCGCGUAGACUCGCCUUAAAACAAUUGGCAGCCGGCGUAUUGAUUUCGGAGCGCAGUACAUCUCGCGCUUUGCACUCAUAACGACGACGUCCAAAAGUACUUUUUACACUCUUGACCUCGGAUCAGGUAGGGAUACCCGCUGAACUUAAGCAUAUCAAAGCCCGGAGGAA
rnacentral:rRNA from 1 species